rnacentral:sRNA from 1 species
GCCGGGUGUGGUGGCUCACACCUGUAAUCCCAGCACCUUGGGAGGCUGAGGUGGGCGGAUCACCUGAGGUCGGGAGUUCAAGACCAGCCUGACCAACAUGGAGAAACCCUGUCUCUA